rnacentral:pre_miRNA from 1 species
GAGACACCCCUCCGGGGCAAGACUUGCUUCAAUUGGGCUUUGGUGCUCACUGUGUCUGCCCCCUGGGUGUGUCCUU